rnacentral:lncRNA from 1 species
UGCUGCUGUUGCUGCUUUUGCUGCUGCUGGGUAACACCUGGGUGGUAUAGUGGCUCAUCGGAAGAAUGCUUACUUCUUAUAUGUCUUUGAAGAUCGUGCGGCCACACAUACACUUUACGGCAAAUAUUGCAAUUAAACAUACUCGUAAUUUCCUAAAUGACAGUGAGUAGUUUCCUCUUAUAGAUUUACUUCACUUCCUUCGAAAAUAUAGCAAGAGAAAUACAUGGUCAUCUUUUAGACGACAUAUUUGAAGAUGACACCUUCAAUGCAC